GGGACGAUGGCUCAGUGGUAGAGUGCUUGCCUUGCAUGCAUGAAGCCCUGGGUUCGAUUCCUCAGCGCCCA
rfam:Dipodomys ordii contig_14172, whole genome shotgun sequence.